rnacentral:rRNA from 1 species
GACGAACGCUGGCGGCGUGCUUAACACAUGCAAGUCGAGCGGUAAGGCCCCUCCGGGGGCACACGAGCGGCGAACGGGUGAGUAACACGUGAGCAACCUGCCCCUGACUCCGGGAUAAGCGGCGGAAACGCCGUCUAAUACCGGAUACGACCCUCCGGCUCAUGCCGUGGGGGUGGAAAGUUUUUUCGGUUGGGGAGGGGCUCGCGGCCUAUCAGCUUGUGGGUGGGGUAAAGGCCUACCAAGGCGAUUACGGGUAGCCGGCCUGGGGGGGCGACCGGCCACACUGGGACUGAGACACGGCCCAGACUCCUGCGGGAGGCAGCAGUGGGGAAUCUUGCGCAAUGGGCGAAAGCCUGACGCAGCGACGCCGCGUGGGGGAUGACGGCCUUCGGGUUGUAAACUCCUUUUACCACUCACGCAGGCUCCCAGUUUUCUGGGGGUUGACGGUAGGUGGGGAAUAAGGACCGGCUAACUACGUGCCAGCCGCCGCCGUAAUAC